AAAUUCAUACAGGCAAGAAACCCUGUGAAUGUAAGGAAUGUGGGAAAACUUUUAGUGCAUGUGGUCAACUUACCUGUCAGCAGAAAAUUCAUACAGGCAAGAAGCCCUGUGAAUGUUAAGGAAUGUGGGAAGGCCUUUAGACUUGAUUUUUACCUCAUUGAACACAGAAGAAUACAUACAGGAAGUUCGUAUUAGGAAAUAAACCUGUUAAUGUAACUGUUAACCAAGAAUUCCAAGAACAGAGACCUGGUUGAAGAAAAAAAGGAAAAAAGCGCUUUUAUUUGGGGUUUGUUAGAACUGCAGCCCAAGAAACACAACCCACUCGAAUUGUGUUCUGCUGGACUAUAAAAUGGGGUAGGCUUAAAAAGGUAAAAAACUGCAAAGUUACAUAAGUUGUCAAGAAUUAGGAUGUGAGCUGGCGCAAGAGGUAAGGGUGCUUGUUAAACAAGGAUGCUUUGGGGUUACAUAAUUGUGUCAGGGGGUGGGAGACUUUUAAACUACAAGGUUGCAACUAGCAGCUGCUAGCAAAUACUGUUUUGAAAACAGCUGGUGCUGUCCUUGAGUUUAAUACAAUUCAGAGAAAAUUCAAGUUCUCAGUGAUGCAUGAAUGUGUCUCAGACCAGAUCCUCAGUGUCUGCCAGAUUACAUUUUUGUAUGCCUGAACUAUGAAUACUCCAUUAUAAUUUCAAUUUGUCAUCAAAAUAAUUGUGGGGAAGUUUUUAAUCAAUGACAUAUACUUAUCAUCAUUGCCUUUACUAUCUGUGUGAUAGUGGGCAACAUAUUUACCCUUCUGUGUGUCAUUUAUAAAAUGGUACCCACCUAAAAGUGUGGUUGAUAGUUUAUAACAUGUACAAUUUUGCAAAAACUACCUGGCCAAAAAACUCCUUUGAAUGAAAAAUAGAUAUGAUAAUUUUUAUUAUUAUCAACAUUAUACUUAAUGAGUUUCUUAAUAUAAAGACAUAAUGAAGGUAACAAAUUUAGAAAGCCAUUCAUCACUUAUUGUAUUUCAGGAAAUUCAUCUUUGAUAAAAUCCAUAAGAAUAUAAAGAACAUGUAAAGAUCAAAUGCAGACUUCAUUGCUUAAGUUCUACCAGAAAAUUAGAGCUGAAAAGUAACCCUAAGGAUUUAAUGAGUGUGAGAAUAUUAAGAAUAUAGCUGGUGAAACAUCAGGGAAUGGUGUGAAGGAUUUUACCAAUAAUAUAGAAGUUAAAAGGAUAACAAAGAGCAAACUGCCUAGAAAAUAUUUACCAACUUUAUUAUGAAAAAUUUCUGACAAAAACAUAGAACGCAUUCUGUAAUGAACAUCCAUUUACCCUUCACCUAGAUUUGAAAAUUUACACUUUGUAUAUUUGCUUCAUUUUUCUAUAAAAUAUAAUUUUUGCUGUACCAUUUAAUAAUAAAUUGUAAACAUUGUAUCACUUUACCCUCAAUAAAUCAGUUUGUAUCCUA